rnacentral:lncRNA from 1 species
CAGUGGGGAAGGGCGCGGACGCGGAGAUGGUGGCCAUGCUGGAGGAGCAGGGCAGCACGGCGCGCGCGAGGAAGCUGUUGUCGGCGCUGGGCAUGGAGCCCGAGAGCAGCAUGGAUGCGGCGGCGGAGGUGGUGGAGGCCAUGGCCAUGGCGGCGGGCGGCAGCGGGUGGUUGUGCGUGCCCUCGUAGGUGGUGAUGAGGAUGGAGCGGUCGUCGGCGCAGCGCUGCACCUGCAUUGCAUUGCAUGCGGGCAGUCAGCGGUCGGUAGUCGUCGGUCAGCCAGCCGUGUUUAUAUUAUAUAUAUAUAUAUAGAUAGAUAGAUAGAUAAACAAGCUGGUGUAGCAGUAUUUGUUUGACCAGAAGCCAGUCAGCAAGCCAGGAUGGAUUGACCGGGGUCGGGUCGUCGCAGAAAUCAAAGUUACCUGC